CUGCAAAGAUGAGAAUCCUGAACUCUCUCUUUCUGAUGCUGAAGUGGAGAAGCUCUAAACAAGGUUCUGAGUGGC
rfam:Anas platyrhynchos breed Pekin duck contig149735, whole genome shotgun sequence.